UGAGGAAUAUUGGUCAAUGGACGCAAGUCUGAUGCAGCAACGCCGCGUGAACGAUGAAGGUCUUCGGAUCGUAAAGUUCUGUUGCAGGGGAAGAUAAUGACGGUACCCUGUGAGGAAGCCCCGGCUAACUACGUGCCAGCAGCCGCGGUAAUACGUAGGGGGCUAGCGUUAUCCGGAUUUACUGGGCGUAAAGGGUGCGUAGGUGGUCUUUCAAGUCGGUGGUUAAAGGCUACGGCUCAACCGUAGUUAGCCUCCGAAACUGGAAGACUUGAGUGCAGGAGAGGAAAGUGGAAUUCCCAGUGUAGCGGUCAGAUGCGUAGAUAUUGGGAGGAACACCAGUAGCGAAGGCGGCUUUCUGGACUGCAACUGACACUGAGGCACGAAAGCGUGGGUAGCAAACAAG
rnacentral:rRNA from 1 species